GACGAACGCUGGCGGCGUGCUUAACACAUGCAAGUCGAACGAAGUGGCGAACGGGUGAGUAAUGCGUAACAAACCUGCCCUUCAGAGGGGGACUACAGUUGGAAACGACUGCUAAUACCGCAUACUGAAGGAGGGGCUUGCGUCUGAUUCGGUAGUUGGAGGGGUAACGGCCCACCAAGGCGAUGAUCAGUAGCCGGUCUGCGAGGAUGAACGGCCAAAUUGGGACUGAGACACGGCCCAGACUCCUACGGGAGGCAGCAGGGGGGAAUCGUCCGCAAUGGACGAAAGGCUGACGGAGCAACGCCGCGGGAGUGAUGACGGCCUUCGGGUUGGAAAGCUCUGUUAAUCGGGACGCGGUACCGGAAUAGAAAGCCACGGCUAACUACGUGCCAGCAGCCGCGGUAAUAC
rnacentral:rRNA from 1 species